AGUUGCGGCAUAUGAGUCUAAUCCUCGAUUGCCACUAAUUCCGUAAGUAAUUAUGGAGUUGGAGAAAAAGCAAAAGAGGUAAUUAUGCCAAUUAUCAUCUUUACUAAUACGCCGACAAAAAGAAAAAACCUGUAGUGUAUGUAAGGCUUUCUCUCUCAUCUCUGUUCUCUCUCUAUAUCUUUCACAGAGAAGAUGAGAAAGCGGUUGAGUUUCUUUGGUUGACGCCGGUGAUUCUUCAUUCCGGCUUCGUUGUGUAACAAAGUCACCGGAUCCUUUCCGGUUGUAGUCUCCCGAUGAUUCGGGCUCUGUCUCUGGGGAGAGGUGGUUCACAUAACACUUUCUCCGCCGGCUUUAGUCUCCGGGAAGAGGUGAUCCUCUUACACCGUCUUCGCCGGCUUAUCACCGGUUUGAUACCGGUUAUAGUGGAUCUACGAUUCCGUUCUUCCUCUGUCCUUCCGCCUCUUGAUCUGUUUCUCUGAAUUUUCUUCGUUGGAAGAUUCGAGUUCUAGAUUCAAUCGUAGGCAGUUGAAUUCCCUUCUUCGAAUCGUAGAUCUGUCAGAGAUGUUUCGUCGUUUUGAGAUUCAGAGCUGUUCUGUUUGAGCGGCUUCUUCUCUAGGUUGGCUUCGCUGAAGGCGGAGCUCCGGCGUGCAUGCGCUCUGACUCCGGAGGAAGCUCGUGCCUUCCAUUUGUGACGCGUGUUCAUUGGGCGCCGGGCGUCCGGACACGUGGUGGUGGAGCUGGCAUCUUUCUCGACGGUUUCUCUUUUGGGCUUCGUGGCCCAUAAGUUUUGCGGUUUGGUGGCCUGUUGUUUGGCCUUUUAUGGUUUUUAUGUUUGUGUUGUUUGUUGGGCUUCGUCCCUUUUUGGGCCCAGUCCCUUAAUAAAAUUUAGAAGAUUUAAAAAAAACCUGUAGUGUACACAGCAAUGGUCCUCUACGGUAAGACGUAUGAAGAAGCUACACUCCAGCCAAUAAGAUUACGCCAGCUCAGCAAUAGCCUGAUACUUGUAACCGCAGUCAACAACGGUUUCUCUAGUUCAGCGCGUAGGAGAGAACACCACUUCACACGCCUCA
rnacentral:lncRNA from 1 species